CACGAAAUGAAUGCGGCAUACGGAGACUCAAUGCCAAUGGUCAGCCCCUUAAGUCUUCAGAAGACUUGACGUCUUCUUCCACUAAAAAUCAAUACAUUACUGUUUCUAGUAAUUUUCAGCAGUUUUAUGAAAGAUGAAAAUGACUAGAAUAUGAUCAAACUAAGUAGUAAUUAGGUAUGAUGUAUCCCAUGUUCUGUAAAUAGAUUUAAGACUUUUCAAACAUUUUCAUGUCAUAUAUCAUACUACAUCAUACUUAACAAAAAAAAAAAAAACAACAAAAAAACACAGAUGCAUCUUGUUCUAUUUCUUCAGCAUAUUCAUAUCAGAACCAGAAACAAAAUGGUGGUCAAAUAUCUUCAAUGUAAGGUGUCCUGUUGAACCCUGUUUCUGGCAUGUGAUUGCUGCUGUCUGUGUAAAAGUGAGUCCAUUAAGUGAAAGUGAGUCAUUAAUGUACAUAAUUUUUGACAUAUGAUAUGUUCAUGAAGAGAAAAUCUUUAAAUAAAUUUAUGGUGACUUGAGUAACACCGGUAUCACUCAGAUUACAAUUCUACCUUGACAGGUAAGUUUGUAUUUAGACUAUAAAAUACUUAUUUAGCCUUGAGAAUUGAAAGGUCAGUUUAUCCCAUUCAUACAAUAGAAGUUUACCUUUAAGGGUCUGAACGGGGUUUACAGAAUAGAGAAUACAUGUAAUGGCAAUAAAAAAUAGAAAAUAGAGAAAAUGAACAACAAAAUAAAGAAUAGAGAAUAAUGCGGUGCAAAAGUAUAAAGAAUAACUGAGCAAAAUAAAAAGGUAACUUAGGUAACUGUAAUGCAAUACUGAUGAAAUAAUUAAUGUACAGAAUUGAUAAAUAAUGUUGUAACAGAAAGACUAAAUAGUAAAAUCAUUUUCAUAUGAAAUUUACAGAAUGAGAGUUAUUUUUAAGGCUAUUAAAAGAAAAUGUCCUAAAAAUUUAAAGAAUACAGAUAUUAAAAAAACCCAUGCAGGUCCUCAUGUCAUUUACAUUGUCAAAAUAUAGGACACAUCUAGUCAAACUGGUUUUAAACUAGACAUCCAAUCAAACUGGUUUGGUAUAACUGACUGUUUCUUGCCCUAGAUGUCUAUUUCACAGUGAACUUAUGUGUUUCUGCUAAGAGUACAUUGCACUGUCAUAUUUAUUGAUUUUCUGUUGGGACAUGACCUACAUUGUUAACAUGCAAAACAGUGGCUUGAGAUUUCAACUGAUAUUAGUAUAAUAAAUUAAUAUUUGGAAUGUUAUAUCCUGGUUGAUGUUUUUUUGGGGACCAAGAUGUUUUCUUCAUUCUUGUUCACAUUAUGAUUAUUUUAACCUUCAACAUUGUUCAAUGCACAUUUAAAGAUAGAAAAAAUUUCAGCACUCAUUUAAAAUAUUUUGCAACUUAAUAAUAAUCUGUCAGAUUUGGUGUAAACACAAAACAAGACAGUGUAAUAUAUAACCUGCAAGCAUUGUCUAUUUCUAUAACAGUCAAGCAGAUAUUUUUUUUAUAUCUGAAAAAAAAAAACUACCAUGUAAAGAAAUAUGCAAUUAAAAGGCCGAAAUAAUCCUAAAAUUCAACAUUAACAGAUUUUUAAUAAUUAAAUCAAGAUGCACAAAGUUUUAAGUAUUGGUCAGAAUAUAGGGUUCUUUUGUACUUUAACAAUAUCACAAUAACAAUAAAGUGACCUUAAUUUUGGACAAGGUAAAUGGCAUGAAGCCAAAUUUAUCAACUUCUAUUGUAUGAAUGGGAUAAACUGACCUUUCAAUUCUCAAGGCUAAAUAAGUAUUUUAUAGGCUAAAUACAAACUAACCUGUCAAGGUAGAAUUGUAAUCUGAGUGAUACCGGUGUAACCCAAGUCACCAUAAAAACCCGAGAUUUAUCAUUAGUGGCUCAAAAUUCCCCUUUAACUAACCUCAUUACAACCUAUAAGAAAGUGUUGCUGACGCUGUUGCUAAAAACAGCAUGCCUAAGUCACCUUUAAAUGACUCAAUAACAAGUUAGACUUCUGAAAAAUAUUAAACAUUAGUCUUUCUUUUACUACAUUCCAUGUUGGGCAAAUAAUAACUUGUGAAAAUCUUCAAAGAUUAUUACUAGAUUAAAUGGUUUUCUUUAUGCUAACUAGAAUCACAAUAUUUGCUAUAAAAUUGCAUAACAUAUUCAUCAAUUUUUUUUAAACAAUCUUAUAGUUCAAAGACCUACACAGCGCAUAAAAAAUCAAAGUCUUUUUAAACAAACAUUUGAUCCAAAGACCUACACAGGGCAAACAUUAAACAAGCUUUCAUCACUCUCAAGUUAACUAACAUAAAUAUUUCUUGUUCCACAAGCAUGACAAGUACACAAAUGUAUUAUAAAUUAUUAUGCCUAAAAUACUUAUCACAGCAACAUGCACAAAUACACCAACCAUAGACUUAACAUUUUAAUGAUAUCCUCUUGAACAAUAUUGUUAAUUACAAGUCUUUCAAAAAUAGCCUAUUUGCCAAUUACUGAUUUAAUUCUCUCAUAAUAACACACUUUUGACACAAGUUGUAGACAGGUUGUAAUCAGACAAAAUGAAAUGCUAAUCAUAUAUAAAGCAUUACAAGUUGAAAGUGGCAUACAGGCUAUGUAACCAAUUCAUGCAAUUUUGAAUAACAAAUGUUUAAUAAGAAGUUUUUACCUUAGCAAAAGAUUAAAAAGGAUUACAUACAUUAUGCACUGUUUAAUUUCCUGUUCACAUGAUCAUGAGCUUUUCAUUUACAUUGAAAACUAUUUCCCUCUUGAUUGAAACAAAUUGUUCAAAAUAGAUCUCAAAUUACAGGGUUAAAAACACUUGGCAAAUAGAGCCUUGGUGGAUGGGAGGUCUAAGUUGUCGAACUACUGUAUCACAAGCCUGUCAACACUGAGGUUGUGAGUUCAAAUCCCCCAUGGGGCAGAGGUGCACUUGACACCAAUCUUAAUUGACAAGGGUCGUCAUUUACCCUAUAGAAGGUCAUUGGUUCUCUCCAUGCACUCCUCCAUCAAUAAAAUCUGAGUGCCAAAAAUAAGCACCAUAUUGUUGAAAGUGGCAAUAAAUGUCAAUCAAGCAAUCAAUCAAACAAUUGGCAAAUAAGCUAUUUACAUGUGAUCACAUUAAUAAUUCAAAACAUAUAAAAAUGUAACAAACAAGUCCAACAUAGAUGUAUAUGCCGACAUAGAUGUAUAUGCAAGCAUAGAUGUAUAUGCCAGUAUAGAUGUAUAUGCCAAAAUAGAUGUAUAUGCCAGCAUAGAUGUAUAUGCCAGCAUAGAUGUAUAUGCCAGCAUAGAUGUAUAUGCCAGCAUAGAUGUAUAUGCCAUUAUAGCUGUAUAUGCCAGCAUAGAUGUAUAUGCUAGCAUUAAUUAUUCAAAACAUACAAAGGUAACAAUCAUUUCAAGCAUUUAUGUAGAUACCAAAAUUGAUGUAUAUGCCAGCAUAGAUGUAUAUGCCAAAAUAGAAGUAUAUGCCAGCAUAGAUGUAUAUUGUAGUACAGCAAAUAUAAAACAACAGUAAAAAUGCAAAUGUACUGUUGAUGGGGGUCAACAUUGGUGAAAAAGACAGCACAAUCCUGUGAACAGGGCAUGGUUUCUUAUUCCUGCUCAUUGUAUUAUAUUUUACAAUAUAGUAGAAAUGGAUUGAGAAAAAGUAAAAAAAAACACUUUCAUAUAUAUCACAACAAAGCAAUAUGUAUAGCAAAUUAAUAAUUAAACAUAGUAAAGUGUGUUUUAUGCACCAGUGCAUAAAAAUUAAAAAAAAAAGCAUUUCUUUUGUCAAAACAAUAUUUCCUGGUGCAGAACUUGCGCCCAGGGACUUUCAUAACUAUCAAUGCUGUAUAAAAAUGCCCUAUUAUUUCAGUUCCUUAAUUUAAAGCUGGAAUCACAUAUACAAAAUGAUCUAUAUGGCAAUUAAUUUGACAUCAUAUUUCCUAAAAUUUUGGUUUAAUAAUGCUCCUUCAAUUACAAUAUAUUACACAAAAUUAAACAUGCAUAUUUCAUUGGGGAAAAACUUAAAAGCUGUACUGGUAAAAAUUCUGAAAUGAGUACAUGCAUGUCAAUAUAUAGAACAUUGACUUACUACACUUCUAAUAAAUUAAUCAUGCCCUCUAAAUUUCAAUUAUUUAUACAUUAG
rnacentral:lncRNA from 1 species